GACGAACGCUGGCGGCGUGCUUAACACAUGCAAGUCGAACGGAGAUUCAGCAAUGGAUCUUAGUGGCGAACGGGUGAGUAACGCGUAGGCAAUCUGCCUUCUAGAUGGGGACAACAUCCCGAAAGGGGUGCUAAUACCGAAUGUUGUACCGUUUCCGCAUGGAGAUGAUACUAAAGGUGGCCUCUGAAUAUGCUACCGCUAGAAGAUGAGCCUGCGUUUGAUUAGCUAGUUGGAGGGGUAACGGCCCACCAAGGCUUCGAUCAGUAGCCGGUCUGAGAGGAUGAACGGCCACACUGGGACUGAGACACGGCCCAGACUCCUACGGGAGGCAGCAGUGGGGAAUCUUCCGCAAUGGACGAGAGUCUGACGGAGCAACGCCGCGUGAGUGAAGAAGGUUUUCGGAUCGUAAAGCUCUUUCGUUAGGGACGAACGUGCUCUUUGUGAAUAAUGAGGAGUAAUGACGGUACCUAAAUAAGAAGCCACGGCUAACUACGUGCCAGCAGCCGCAGUAAUAC
rnacentral:rRNA from 1 species